rnacentral:rRNA from 1 species
GUAGGUGGUUUAAUAAGCGAAUAGUGAAAUCUGGUGGCUCAACCAUUCAGACUAUUAUUCGAACUGUUAAACUCGAGAGCAGAAGAGGUAGCNUGGAAUUUCUAGUGUAGGAGUGAAAUCCGUAGAUAUUAGAAGGAACACCGAUGGCGUAGGCAGGCUACUGGGCUGUUUCUGACACUGAGGCACGAAAGCGUGGGGAGCGAACCGGAUUAGAUACCCGGGUAGUCCACGCCGUAAACGAUGGAUACUAGCUGUUUGGGGUAUCGACCCCCUGAGUAGCGAAGCUAACGCGUUAAGUAUCCCGCCUGUGGAGUACGAUCGCAAGAUUAAAACAUAAAGGAAUUGACGGGGACCCGCACAAGCGGUGGAUCAUGUUCUUUAAUUCGAUGAUAACCGAUAAACCUUACCAGGUCUUGACAUCCUUGGAAUCUUUCAGAAAUGAGAGAGUGCUUUUUAAGAGCCAAGUGACAGGUGAUGCAUGGCCGUCGUCAGCUCGUGUCGUGAGAUGUUUGGUUAAGUCCAUCAACGAGCGCAACCCUUGUCAGUAGUUGUAUUUUUCUACUGAGACUGCCCCGGUAACGGGGAGGAAGGAGGGGAUGACGUCAGGUCAGUAUUUCCCUUUACGUCCUGGGCUAGAAACGUGAUACAAUGGCUAGUACAAUGCGCAC